AAUCAUUCGCCAUUUGGAAGACUAGUGAUUUGUUGUUCUUGAAUUUGAGUAACAAAAAAUCACUAUUUUCCGCUGGCGUUUGUAA
rnacentral:pre_miRNA from 1 species